GACGUAGGGCGCGAGCGUUUGUCCGGAUUUAUUGGGCGUAAAGAGCUCGUAGGCGGCUUGUCGCGUCGACUGUGAAAUCCCGCGGCUCAACUGCGGGUCUGCAGUCGAUACGGGCAGGCUAGAGUGUGGUAGGGGAGAUCGGAAUUCCUGGUGUAGCGGUGAAAUGCGCAGAUAUCAGGAGGAACACCGGUGGCGAAGGCGGAUCUCUGGGCCAUUACUGACGCUGAGGAGCGAAAGCGUGGGGAGCGAACAGG
rnacentral:rRNA from 1 species